rnacentral:rRNA from 1 species
GACGAACGCUGGCGGCGUGCUUCAUACAUGCAAGUCGAACGAGAAGCUGACUUCCGUCAGUGGAAAGUGGCGGACGGGUGAGUAAUAUGUAGGAAAUCUGCCUUUAGGAGGGGGACAACAGAGGGAAACUUCUGCUAAUACUCCAUAUGAGCGUAGCUUAAAUGCUCUUCUUGAAAACUCCGGUGCCUAAAGAUGAGCCUGCAACUGAUUAGCUAGUUGGUAGUGUAAUGGACUACCAAGGCGACGAUCAGUAGCUGGAUUGCGAGGAUGAGCAGCCACAAUGGGACUGAGACACGGCCCAUACUCCUACGGGAGGCAGCAGUAGGGAAUUUUGCGAAGUGGGCGAAAGCCUGACGCAGCAACGCCGCGUGAACGAUUAAGCCCUUCGGGGUGUAAAGUUCUGUCAGUGGGGACGAAACUUGACGGUACCCACAGAGGAAGCACCGGCUAACUACGUG